AGUCUUAUAUUCAAUAAUGAUAUAAAAUUGCAAAUUUUAAGGAGUAUAAAUAUACUAAGGCUU
rnacentral:tRNA from 1 species